rfam:Triticum aestivum genome assembly, contig: Triticum_aestivum_CS42_TGACv1_scaffold_080591_1DS
GUUAUACUCCCUCCGUCCCAAGAUUCUUGUCUUAGAUUUAUCUAGAUACGGAUGUAUCUAACACUAAAAUGUGAGUAGAAAGUGAGUAUGUAGACAAAUCUGAGACAAGAAUUUUGGGACAGAGGGAGUACAUA